CUUGCAUAGAUUGUGAUGUGAGUUCUUGAAGGGUAGCUAUGAGAAGUAGGAAAUAAAGAACUGAAAAUUAGAAGAAAUGAGAGUCUCAAAGCUAAUAUGGUAAUUCUUUGAGUGGAGUGUAGUUGAAGAUUACUCAACAUUUUUUUCUUUAGAUAUUUUGGAUUUCCAAUUGUGAAGUUUUGUUUUAGUCUUUGUAUGGUUUUUGGUUAUGAUAUGAUGAUGAGAGAUUGAGAUAGUGGUUUGUUUUUGUGCUUGGUGAAUGAAGACUUUUUCUUUGUGAGA
rnacentral:lncRNA from 1 species